rnacentral:tRNA from 1 species
GGGGGAUUAGUUCAGUGGUAGAACACUGGUCUCCAAAACCAGAUACGGGGGUCCGAUUCCCUCAUCCCCUG